rnacentral:rRNA from 1 species
UACGUAGGGCGCAAGCGUUAUCCGGAAUUAUUGGGCGUAAAGAGCUCGUAGGCGGUUUGUCGCGUCUGCCGUGAAAGUCCGGGGCUCAACUCCGGAUCUGCGGUGGGUACGGGCAGACUAGAGUGAUGUAGGGGAGACUGGAAUUCCUGGUGUAGCGGUGAAAUGCGCAGAUAUCAGGAGGAACACCGGCGGCGAAGGCGGGUCUCUGGGCCAUAACUGACGCUGAGGAGCGAAAGCGUGGGGAGCGAACAGG